CCUACGGGCGGCAGCAGUGGGGAAUAUUGGACAAUGGGCGAAAGCCUGAUCCAGCCAUGCCGCGUGUGUGAAGAAGGCCUUCGGGUUGUAAAGCACUUUCAGUGGGGAAGAAAGCCUUGGGGCUAAUACCCUCGAGGAAGGACAUCACCCACAGAAGAAGCACCGGCUAACUCCGUGCCAGCAGCCGCGGUAAUACGGAGGGUGCGAGCGUUAAUCGGAAUUACUGGGCGUAAAGCGCGGGUAGGCGGUCUGAUAAGCCGGUUGUGAAGGCCCCGGGCUCAACCUGGGAACGGCAUCCGGAACUGUCAGGCUAGAGUGCAGGAGAGGAAGGUAGAAUUCCCGGUGUAGCGGUGAAAUGCGUAGAGAUCGGGAGGAAUACCAGUGGCGAAGGCGGCCUUCUGGACUGACACUGACGCUGAGGUGCGAAAGCGUGGGUAGCAAACAGGAUUAGAUACCCUUGUAGUC
rnacentral:rRNA from 1 species